GGGAAGGUGGCUCAGUGGUAGAGCGCUUGCCUUGCAUGCAUGAAGCCCUGGGUUCAAUUCCUCACCACCACA
rnacentral:tRNA from 1 species